rnacentral:rRNA from 1 species
UACGGAGGGGGCUAGCGUUGUUCGGAAUUACUGGGCGUAAAGCGCACGUAGGCGGCUUUGUAAGUUAGAGGUGAAAGCCCAGGGCUUAACCCUGGAAUUGCCUUUAAGACUGCAUCGCUAGAAUUGUGGAGAGGUAAGUGGAAUUCCGAGUGUAGAGGUGAAAUUCGUAGAUAUUCGGAAGAACACCAGUGGCGAAUGCGACUUACUGGACACAUAUUGACGCUGAGG